CUAAAAUAUUCCUGGUAAUUAAAUGACAUGGAAACUAAUUGACUCUUAGCUAAUAGCAAUGUGUUGGUCAUGAACUUUAAAGCUGUGAAUCAGAAAUUCUGUUGAUGUUACUGUGAGCACAGCAUUGGACUCUUGAUUAAAGAUUUGGUGGUCCUUUGUCCUUUUGAUAAGCGCCCUGUUGUUUGCUAGAACUGGAGCUUUGUAGUUUUGGUGGAGUAAACUUAAUACGUAGCAACCCAGGAUUUUUGUGAGGCUUUAAGAAUGCUUUGACAUCCUGAUUCUAAACCCAUUUACUUACAAGAAGACCCAUUGAUGUCGCCUCUUCCGAAUGUGCUUGUGUUCAGCCCUUAAAUGCAGUCUGGGGAGAAGUGCAGGACUGUAAGUGCAGGAUUGCUCAACCUAAGAGGCUGAUCUUAAGCAGUGAGUGUUUGGUGCGAGACAGCCGGGCAGCCCAUAUGUACUGUAUGCAAAACUGAAGAAGAGAAGGGUAACCCCCAGAAAGUUAUUUUUGUCAGGAUGAAGAUGCAUAUCACGCAGUUACCUAGAUUUCCUGAAUGACUGUGCUAACCUUUAACAGGUUGUGUCAGUUAGAAUGAGUAUCUUGUGCAGUGCAUGUUCAUCAGGAAUGGUCUUUCAGAAGGUGCAGGGGAGCAGAAAAUGGGAUUCGGACGAAAUUAGGAGCCCUUCUACUCAUACAAGCAAGCACGUUGGUUGCAAUCCAAUUGCUGUGGUGUUGUACAAGAAAGACACUUUCUUUUCAUGAAGGUCACGCCUAUGGAUGGGAAGAACCACAUUGUCAAGUAAUUCAGUCAGUAUAGGCAGUUCUGUGACUACUAUUUGUAGCCUCUGGUCUGGUAUUGAGUGCAAAUCUCUUGGGUUCUGAUUAACUAGCUGUUGGAUCCAUGGCUGGCCUCUGUGAAGAAGCAUUGCCUUCUUCCAGGCUGAUCCAGCAAACUUUCACUCUGACCCAGCAAAGCUGCUCUUAAUUUACUGGGAAGGGUGUAGUGCAGGCUUCCUUAACCUCGGCCCUCCAGAUGUUUUUGACCUACAACUCCUAUGAUCCCUAGCUAGCAGGACCAGUGGUCAGGGAUGAUGGGAAUUGUAGUCUCAAAACAUCUGGAGGACUGAAGUUGAGGAAGCAUGGUGUAGUGGUUGCCUCACAACACUUCUAGAAUGGUUGGGCUUACUGAUUUGGCUUUGAGUGCGAAUUCAUGAAUGAUCCUUGUGAUGAGGUCAAUGGGAGGCAGUUUCUUCCUUGAACACCACCCCAGCAAUGCAUGUGUAAAGGAACAUUUGUGGGACCAACGCCAUAAUAGGUUGCUCGGACACUUUAGGGUAUUGCUUCCUUUAUGGCUGCAAUAAUUUGCAAAGUGAUACAUGGAUUGAAGUAUAACCCAUUCAAUAUUGUGAAUGUAAAAUCCAACCUUCUGAGAUGUUGAUGAGCUUAAAAGUGGGUGAAAGAUUUCUCAGUCUUUUAUUAGAUGGCUGGAGAUGUAUAGAGUCUCUUGCACAUAACUCUCUUACUGAUGACAUUGUUGUCAGACAUUUGAAUCAAAUAAGGGGAAAGUUAGAUUUUAAAUUGUUUGGCCUGUGAGGCAAGUAAAAAAAAAAAGGUUCUUGGUGUGUGUUUUAAAAAUAUAUGAAUUCAGCAAAUUUAAUCCCCCCAUUAUGAAGUAAGGAUCGCCUUUGCGAAUAUAUUAAUUAACAAAUAAAUAGCCAAGUUAGUGCGUCGUUGGGAAUCAACACACUUUUUCGGUAGCUGUAAGAGUCUUCCACUGUUAAUUGUUCAAAGCAUUAGUAAUCACUUGUAAUCUCACAGCUGCUAUUUGGAUUGCCUUAGCGGAGUACCAAAAUUGGCUGUUAUGUAAUUGACCCUUACGAAGUUGCCACAUCAGACUGAAGCUCAUUUGUUUUCUUCAGCGGUUCAAUAGUGCUCGGUUAUUUUCUACGCCCUUUGGAAUGUUGUGUGAAAUGAGCGAACUUUUAAGUGGCACCAGCUAUGGACCGAGUGACCUAUAGUUCAGGCUCACUGUCUGUGCACUAAGUUGAUGAGAGACACUUGCAGGAAAGAUUGCAGCACAGGGAAAAUAAGCGCUUGCUUAAAAAAUGCAUUCCUUUCUUCUGGAUGCAUUAUGUUUCUCAAGGUCCUAACCCGCAUUGUGAAAAUGAGGGUGUAGCAACGUUAAACUUAUUCCGCUCUACUUUGGCGUUUCCCAUAGAUUUGCCCAAAUCGUGCUUCAGUCUGGUGAUAACUGUGUCUGUGAAAACCUCCCUACCACUGUGGAAAACACUCCCGUGCAUGGAAAGCUAGGCUGUCAGAAAGUUGUCCAGAUCAACACCUUUCUCCCUUGAUAUCUCCCCAGAUAUAUGAAAGUUUUCCAGAUGCAGAGAGGAGGUGUGGUUGUUUUUUUUAAAAAAAAACAUAGGAGUAAGUCAAACAGGCAAUCCCAUCAUCGCAACCACCUCAGUCAGACUUCCGUUGCUAUUUCUGGACAUCUGCACCUGCCCUCUGAGUUAAUCAACACCAGGAGUAGCCAGCCGGGUGCCUUGCAGAUGUUGAUCAACUGCAACUCCCAUCAUCCCUAUCCAAUGACUUUGCUGACUGUGACUGAUGAGAAUUGUAGUUCAUCUGGAGGGGAACCACGUCGACUAUACCUGGCCCAGACAGAUCUGAUUUAAGUAGAAUGGGAUGCAAACCACACUGCACUGCUGGAAUGCUUGCUGUUUCUCAUCCAUUAUUGGAGGGAAGGGAUUGUGAAAAGAAGCAUGCAUUUUGCAUGAUGGUCCUUGGUGAAAAUCCUGUGUGGAUCUUCCCUAGUUUUCCUUAUUUCCAUUUAUUCUGGUGAAUUUAGGGUGGCGUGGGAUAAACCUCUAUUCCUUGAGUUUGGAACAUGCUGUUUUACCUUAACAGGAACCAUCAUCCUUACCUUUUGACCUCCCAUGAACAUCUUUGAGUCUCACAAAUUCUGUGGUUGCAUGAAGCAAGGAGUGAGAUGUAUCUAUUACUACUCUGAAGCUUAAUUUAAAACAAAAACA